ACAUAUUGUUUAUUAUCUGCUCUUUCAUUAGGUUUCUUGGAAUCUUUGUCGAGGGUCAUCAGUUCAGUACCCAAGGAGGUUUUGCCUUCAUACAUAAAACUUGUCCGUGAUGCUGUAUCACAUCCAGAGAUAAAGAGCGUAGGAAGAAAAAGGGAGGACCUAUUCUCAUACCUGGAUUUUGUCUUCCCAAAGCACUGCAGCCUCUAUUGCCUAUUUUUCUCCAAGGUCUUAUGAGUGGGUCUGCUGAAUUAAGGGAGCAGGCUGCAUUGGGACUUGGUGAACUGAUAGAG